GGCAGUCACAUAGGGUGUCGGCUCUGUUUUGACGCCACCCUUUCACCUCUGUCUGCUUUAGAAUGUAAUUGAAUAAUAAAUAGCCCGUGUAGUUAGCUUUGAUGUAGCGUUUGUGUAGCUAGUAUUACUACAGACUUUAGCUGCUAGCUGCUGGCCACACGACGCAAACGCCAGGCGCGUGUCCGCUGAGGAGGACACGCUCUCGCGCAUGAAGCAUCACGGGCCACGGCAGAGCCAUUUUAGCUGCUGAUCGCUCGCGGGACACCUGGGACGGGCGGGACAGAGACUCACAGGGAAUACCAGUAAAACGCAUGGCUGUGUCACACUGUGAGUUAAGAAGCGACAUGUCCUCGCUGCUUUCCCUGGUGUAGAGAGGCUCCACCGGCGGCACUAACGCAUGACCCUGUCUCUGUGUGUCUGUCGGUGGGGAGGACAGUGAUGACAACACUUCCCAUUUCCUAACCAGAUUACCAUGGCAUCAGGAAGAAAAGGAUCCACCUCGAAGGCCGGUGGGGUGCGUUUCCCUGACGACGACGACGAGCCCCCCGGCUCUCCGUCACGGAGAGACGACGAGCUCAACCUCAGUACCCUCAUCGCUGUGCUGGAGAAGGAUGGAGGCUACCUGG